rnacentral:rRNA from 1 species
AUACGGAGGGUGCAAGCGUUACUCGGAAUCACUGGGCGUAAAGCGCGCGCAGGCGGCUAUUUAAGUUGGAUGUGAAAGCCUAUGGCUCAACCAUAGAACUGCAUCCAAAACUAUUUAGCUAGAGUGUGGGAGAGGAAGAUGGAAUUAGUUGUGUAGGGGUAAAAUCCGUAGAGAUAACUAGGAAUACCAAAAGCGAAGGCAAUCUCCUGGAACACUACUGACGCUGAGGCGCGAAAGCGUGGGGAGCAAACGGGAUUAGAAACCCUAGUAGUCC